UACAGAGGGGGCAAGCGUUGUUCGGAAUUACUGGGCGUAAAGGGCGCGUAGGCGGCCUUCUAAGUCGAACGUGAAAUCCCUCGGCUUAACCGGGGAACUGCGUCUGAUACUGGAUGGCUAGAGUUUGGGAGAGGGAUGCGGAAUUCCAGGUGUAGCGGUGAAAUGCGUAGAUAUCUGGAGGAACACCGGUGGCGAAGGCGGCAUCCUGGACCAACACUGACGCUGAGGAGCGAAAGCCAGGGGAGCAAACGGG
rnacentral:rRNA from 1 species